UACGGAGGGAGCUAGCGUUGUUCGGAAUUACUGGGCGUAAAGCGCACGUAGGCGGCUUUGUAAGUUAGAGGUGAAAGCCCGGGGCUCAACUCCGGAACUGCCUUUAAGACUGCAUCGCUUGAAUCCAGGAGAGGUGAGUGGAAUUCCGAGUGUAGAGGUGAAAUUCGUAGAUAUUCGGAAGAACACCGGUGGCGAAGGCGGUUCUCUGGGCCUUACCUGACGCUGAGGAGCGAAAGUGUGGGGAGCGAACAGG
rnacentral:rRNA from 1 species